rnacentral:rRNA from 1 species
AACGAACGCUGGCGGCAGGCUUAACACAUGCAAGUCGAGCGCCCCGCAAGGGGAGCGGCAGACGGGUGAGUAACGCGUGGGAAUCUACCCAUCUCUACGGAAUAACGCAUGGAAACGUGUGCUAAUACCGUAUACGUCCUUCGGGAGAAAGAUUUAUCGGAGAUGGAUGAGCCCGCGUUGGAUUAGCUAGUUGGUGGGGUAAAGGCCUACCAAGGCGACGAUCCAUAGCUGGUCUGAGAGGAUGAUCAGCCACACUGGGACUGAGACACGGCCCAGCCUCCUACGGGAGGCAGCAGUGGGGAAUAUUGGACAAUGGGCGCAAGCCUGAUCCAGCCAUGCUGCGUGAGUGAUGAAGGCCCUAGGGUUGUAAAGCUCUUUCACCGGUGAAGAUAAUGACGGUAACCGGAGAAGAAGCCCCGGCUAACUUCGUGCCAGCCGCCGCCGUAAAAC